AUUAACGCUGGCGGCAGGCCUAACACAUGCAAGUCGAGCGGAUGAAGGGAGCUUGCUCCUGGAUUCAGCGGCGGACGGGUGAGUAAUGCCUAGGAAUCUGCCUGGUAGUGGGGGAUAACGUCCGGAAACGGGCGCUAAUACCGCAUACGUCCUGAGGGAGAAAGUGGGGGAUCUUCGGACCUCACGCUAUCAGAUGAGCCUAGGUCGGAUUAGCUAGUUGGUGGGGUAAAGGCCUACCAAGGCGACGAUCCGUAACUGGUCUGAGAGGAUGAUCAGUCACACUGGAACUGAGACACGGUCCAGACUCCUACGGGAGGCAGCAGUGGGGAAUAUUGGACAAUGGGCGAAAGCCUGAUCCAGCCAUGCCGCGUGUGUGAAGAAGGUCUUCGGAUUGUAAAGCACUUUAAGUUGGGAGGAAGGGCAGUAAGUUAAUACCUUGCUGUUUUGACGUUACCAACAGAAUAAGCACCGGCUAACUUCGUG
rnacentral:rRNA from 1 species